UUAGCGGCGGACGGGUGAGUAACACGUGGAUAACCUACCUAUAAGACUGGGAUAACUUCGGGAAACCGGAGCUAAUACCGGAUAAUAUUUUGAACCGCAAGGUUCAAAAGUGAAAGACGGUCUUGCUGUCACUUAUAGAUGGAUCCGCGCUGCAUUAGCUAGUUGGUAAGGUAACGGCUUACCAAGGCAACGAUGCAUAGCCGACCUGAGAGGGUGAUCGGCCACACUGGAACUGAGACACGGUCCAGACUCCUACGGGAGGCAGCGGUAGGGAAUCUUCCGCAAUGGGCGAAAGCCUGACGGAGCAACGCCGCGUGAGUGAUGAAGGUCUUCGGAUCGUAAAACUCUGUUAUUAGGGAAGAACAUAUGUGUAAGUAACUGUGCACAUCUUGACGGUACCUAAUCAGAAAGCCACGGCUAACUACGUGCCAGCAGCCGCGGUAAUACGUAGGUGGCAAGCGUUAUCCGGAAUUAUUGGGCGUAAAGCGCGCGUAGGCGGUUUUUUAAGUCUGAUGUGAAAGCCCACGGCUCAACCGUGGAGGGUCAUUGGAAACUGGAAAACUUGAGUGCAGAAGAGGAAAGUGGAAUUCCAUGUGUAGCGGUGAAAUGCGCAGAGAUAUGGAGGAACACCAGUGGCGAAGGCGACUUUCUGGUCCGUAACUGACGCUGAUGUGCGAAAGCGUGGGGAUCAAACAGGAUUAGAUACCCUGGUAGUCCACGCCGUAAACGAUGAGUGCUAAGUGUUAGGGGGUUUCCGCCCCUUAGUGCUGCAGCUAACGCAUUAAGCACUCCGCCU
rnacentral:rRNA from 1 species